rnacentral:misc_RNA from 1 species
GGAAGGAUCAUUAUUGAAUGAACUUGGUGUGGUUGUUGCUGGCCCUCUCGGGGGCAUGUGCACACCCGCCAUCCUCAUCUCUCCACCUGUGCACCUUUUGUAGACCUGGAUAGACUUUCCGAGGCAACUCGGUCGGGAAGAUUGCUGCGCUCUGUGUGCCAGCUUUCUUUGCAUGUCC